UCAAUCUCGUGCGGCUAUAUAUACCGCCGGUCCCUCUAAGAAGAUUUUCAUUGUACGCCGGUAGUGAAGACCGCGAAACGCGCGCCGACGACGACNNNCGACGACGACGCGCGAACGCCGCCGGGACGCGCGCACGCGGGCCCUCGUGAUACCGGUUGCACGUCUAUUUAAUAGGCUAGAGUUACGUUCGUUAC
rnacentral:rRNA from 1 species